UUAGCCUGGUUCCGGCCUCCGCAUCAUGGGAUGGUAGGAACCAGGCUAAAGGUUUGGGGAUGAUGUCUUCAAAUACAACGUGAGGCUGUGUGGAGAUAGGUCUGUGUCGGGGAAUUGGAAACUCACCAGGAACAGCUUUAUUAAAAGUACCAUCCGUCUCAGGGGAGCAGAGAAAGAAGCUCUUCCGAUAUUUCAGGACCACAUCUGACGGGAAAUGACCAAUCAAGGAACGCGAUUAGUAGUGCUGUCCAUAGUUUUUGUGGCAGUUACAGCGAUUGACUGGCAUGACGACAUACGUGGAGACUACUGUCGUGUACGUCGACCGAGAACAUGCUGCCCCGAUAGAGACGACUAUUGCACUAUGCCCAUUCUGGACACUGUUUGCUAUUGCGACAUGUUCUGUAAUCGUACCAACGGUGAUGACUGUUGUCCAGACUUCUGGGAACAUUGCCUCGGAAUGAGACGACCAACACCACCUCAGCGUCUAAUAAAUCCUUGUAAGUGUACGAUGAUUUUUAUUUGUUAGUUGUUUCAUUAAAUUAAUUCUGGUCGUCGCUUUCACACGAUCUAAACGAACAACGGAUAUCCAACUCAUGUAGUCAAGCUGAAAGCGAAAAGCUUAACAAAAAUAUCAACUUUUUUAAUCUAAUCCAUUAAAAGUUUCGCUUAUU